rnacentral:rRNA from 1 species
AUGGCAGAUGCUCUCUCCAGGUGCCACGAGGAGGAGCUAGGGGCUGUUUUUGCUCUCUUGCGCCUCGCCACCAUUCCACGACAUCAAUGGGUAAGGAAGCUGCUGGGAUAUGGCUGUCAAAUUACAGUCGCAGAUGCUCUCUCCAGGCAACACGAGGAGGAGCUAGGGGCUGUCUUUGCUCUCUUGUGUCCUCAGUUUCAACUUUUUGAUGACUUGCGUCAGGAAAUUGAUACUAGUGCAGACCUCACAGCGCUACGUGACUCCAUUGAAGCAGGGAUGGUUGCAGGGCCUUGGAGCGUCACCGACGGCCUCAUUCUCCAUAAAGGACGGUUCUACGUCACCCCGACCUCACUUUGCCUCCCUGCAAUCUUGCAGAUGCCCAAUUUUUACAUCCCUCACAUGCCAGCGGUGGAGUUUGUGUGGUGUUGUGUCGUGUGCCAGAGCAACUAG